UCUUACAGAGAUUAAUUAUAAGUAAAACCUGCUCAACGACAACACAACUAAUAGCCGCAGUUAACCUGUGCUAAGGUAGCAUAAUCACUUGCUUUUUAAAUGAAAGAUAGUAUGAAUGGUUAAACGAUAAUAAACUAUUUUAUAUAAAUAAAACAAAAUUAAUUUUAAAGUAAAAAAGCCUUAAUAAAAAAACAAGACGACAAGACCCUAAUGAACUUAUUAAUUUAGUUGGGGCAACAAAACAACAAUAUUUUAUUAACUAAUUAAAUAAAACUAUUACAAUAAACAUAAAAUAGUUACCAUAGGGAUAACAGCGCAAUUUUUUUAAAGAGUUCCCAUCUAAAAAAAUGUUUACGACCUCGAUGUUGAAUUAAUUAAACUAUAUGACGCAAAAGUUAUAAAAGUCAGUCUGUUCGACUACUAAUAAAUU
rnacentral:rRNA from 1 species